UACGAAGGGGGCGAGCGUUGUCCGGAAUCACUGGGCGUAAAGGGCGCGUAGGUGGCGCGGGCAGUCAACGGUGAAAGUUCGGGGCUCAACCCUGAAUCGGCCGUCGAUACUCCCGGGCUUGAGCACUGUAGAGGCAGAUGGAAUUCCGGGUGUAGCGGUGGAAUGCGUAGAGAUCCGGAAGAACACCGGUGGCGAAGGCGGUCUGCUGGGCAGUAGCUGACACUGAGGCGCGACAGCGUGGGGAGCAAACAGG
rnacentral:rRNA from 1 species